CUGGAGGUAUCAGAAGUGCGAAUGCUGACAUAAGUAACGAUAAAGCGGGUGAAAAGCCCGCUCGCCGGAAGACCAAGGGUUCCUGUCCAACGUUAAUCGGGGCAGGGUGAGUCGACCCCUAAGGCGAGGCCGAAAGGCGUAGUCGAUGGGAAACAGGUUAAUAUUCCUGUACUUGGUGUUACUGCGAAGGGGGGACGGAGAAGGCUAUGUUGGCCGGGCGACGGUUGUCCCGGUUUAAGCGUGUAGGCUGGUUUUCCAGGCAAAUCCGGAAAAUCAAGGCUGAGGCGUGAUGACGAGGCACUACGGUGCUGAAGCAACAAAUGCCCUGCUUCCAGGAAAAGCCUCUAAGCAUCAGGUAACAUCAAAUCGUACCCCAAACCGACACAGGUGGUCAGGUAGAGAAUACCAAGGCGCUUGAGAGAACUCGGGUGAAGGAACUAGGCAAAAUGGUGCCGUAACUUCGG
rnacentral:rRNA from 1 species